rnacentral:tRNA from 1 species
GGAGAGAUGGCCGAGC